UACGUAGGGUGCAAGCGUUGUCCGGAAUUAUUGGGCGUAAAGAGCUCGUAGGCGGUUUGUUGCGUCGGCUGUGAAAUCCCGAGGCUCAACCUCGGGUCUGCAGUCGAUACGAGCAAACUAGAGUGUUGCAGGGGAGACUGGAAUUCCUGGUGUAGCGGUGAAAUGCGCAGAUAUCAGGAGGAACACCGGUGGCGAAGGCGGGUCUCUGGGCAACAACUGACGUGGAG
rnacentral:rRNA from 1 species